UACGUAGGGGGCAAGCGUUGUCCGGAAUUAUUGGGCGUAAAGAGCUCGUAGGCGGUUUGUCGCGUCUGCCGUGAAAGUCCGGGGCUCAACCUCCGGAUCUGCGGUGGGUACGGGCAGACUAGAGUGAUGUAGGGGAGACUGGAAUUCCAGGUGUAGCGGUGAAAUGCGUAGAUAUCUGGAGGAACACCGGUGGCGAAGGCGGCGUUCUGGACUGCAACUGACACUGAGGAACGAAAGCCAGGGGAGCAAACGGG
rnacentral:rRNA from 1 species